rnacentral:lncRNA from 1 species
UAUAAUUGAACUAUCUAAUUUUUUAAAAUUUUAAUUUUACUAUUUAAUAUUUUAUUUUAUUUUAUUUUAUUUAAAUUAAUAAAUAAUUAUUUAAAAUUUAAAUAUGUCGUUUAUUCAUAUAAUUUUCGCAAUUAUAAAUACAAUAAAAUAAAUAAUUAGUUUAAAUUUUAAAAUCAAAAUAUCAUUUAAAUCAAAUAAUUUGAAAGAUUGCAUAGUACAAUCAAAUAUUUAAAAGAUUAAAUAGUCUGAUCAACCUAAAUAGGAAUAAUUUCAUCAAUACCCUUCUAAGAGAUAGAAAUUUCAUAGAUGCCCCUAUAAAUUACAAAAUAUCAGCAAUACCCCUCUAUAAAACAAAAAUAUUCACAAAUACCCUUAAGAUUAACAUUCCGUUAAAAAAUCAUCUAAUAUUCUAUAAAUACCCAUUUUACCCUUAUUAAUUACUAAUUUAACUAAGUGUAAUAAUUUCAGAUUAAUUACAUGAUCAAGAUCAAUUCUUAAUCUUUCAAUCACAUAAUAAUUCAACAUUCUUUUUAAAAUUUUACAAUUAAAUAUCUAUA